rnacentral:snoRNA from 1 species
GGCCUCUUGGUACUUACUCCAGGUUCUUACAGCGACUGCACUGAACAAGGAGGCAGAGAAAUCUCUCCCUGUGUACACCUCAGCCUGGUCCCUGUCCCUGGUCUGUCUUGUGAAUGGGAAGCAUGG